UACGUAGGGUGCAAGCGUUGUCCGGAAUUAUUGGGCGUAAAGAGCUCGUAGGCGGUUUGUCGCGUCUGCUGUGAAAACUGGAGGCUCAACCUCCAGCCUGCAGUGGGUACGGGCAGACUAGAGUGCGGUAGGGGAGAUUGGAAUUCCUGGUGUAGCGGUGAAAUGCGCAGAUAUCAGGAGGAACACCGGUGGCGAAGGCGGGUCUCUGGGCCGAUACUGACGCUGAGGAGCGAAAGCGUGGGGAGCAAACAGG
rnacentral:rRNA from 1 species